GAAUAGCCAACCAAGGCCCUUUAUUAUACAUUUUGCAAAGCGGAGAGCUCACAUAGACUCAUGUCAUUUGUGAGGUCUGAAACAUUCAUGAUUCUUUACAGGCAGAUAUACACUUUGGAUUCAAGCAUUUGGCAACUCAUGAACAUUCCAAAGGUGGGGGUAAUUAUGCUCUGUUCUUUCACACUGAAAAGUUACUAAAAUGUUUCUGCUGACUUUGCUGAAACAAGGUCACAGCUACAGACACACUGAACAAUGAACAGUGAAACAGCAUUCUCCCAGAGCAGGCAGAAACUCUUAAAAUCCAUUCUUUCUAUAUUUUUAUAACAAAUCCUCCCUCAAAAGCAUGAAGAAAAUUAAUUUUUAGGGCUUUAUUUGCCUAUGGAUUAUACUUUGCAAAUCUACUUUUCUUGGAAUCUAUCCUGCUUGUAAUCAUGAACUCUGCAGAUCUGCCAAGAAAUUAUCCCAGGCAUCUCAUCCUUAGAAGCAUCCUUGGCAUUCAAACCCAUGAAACAGACAAUAUUUUACCAAGAAAACGGAAGACAGCAAUGAAAUGCAUUGUCAGAGCAGCAGUGUAUGCCAUUUGAAGCACUGUUUAAUGCAAAAUAUGUAUAAUUCUUGUGAGGGGUGCCUAAUUCAGGCCCCAUCUCAGAAAAGACAUGACUGUCUGAACUGGACAAAUCCUGUCCUUUCUAGAAUGUUGAGAAUUAUAUGUGGAAAGAUCUGUUUUAAAAGUGUGCUCCAUGUUGUUAUCUUAGCAGCAUACAGUCUGAAUUGUCUUGUUCUAAUGCAAGCAACUGUUGAUGCAGUAUUAAAUCUUGUUACUAGAGUAGGCCGUUCCCAGAAGUCUGUCAAAGUUGUUGAAAAGAUACUGAGAGACACUGACCAGUCAUAUCUAAGCCACAUUUUAAAUGUUAUUAAGAACAGAAGUUACAAAACUUUUCUUACAUCUCUCAAUGAAUCUUCUGAAUAAAACGCUCUUUUGGAA